AAAUGCCAAAACUAAUUUCUUUGUGUCAGUGUGUCACAUUUUGACCCCUGCUCUCACUAUUCAAUGACACUUCUACUAUUCCUCCUGCUGGUGUGAGAGUAAUUGUAGGCAUAGAGAUGGUGAGGGCAGUAGUGAAGAGAGAGGGAGA